UCGAGUCAGAUUUGAUCGUCGGCGUGAAGAGAUAAUUAGGGCUUUGAGGGUCAGGUCUUGGAUCCCUUCUUUGUUGUUGUUGAUUGAGAGUCAGGGGAAUCCCUGGUAUGCUGGUUCACGGAGCGGAGUAGGUGAUCCAUCUGGAAAUGAUCAGUUGAGGAGGGAGAGAUCGGAUCCAAUUACUUGCUGUAACCCACAGAUCAGUUCUUGGAUGUUUCCUUCUUUGCUGUGAUAGAGGUGUUCUGUAGGUUGGGAGGUUCCUUGUUCUUGAUUCAGCAGAGGUGUUCUUG